rnacentral:rRNA from 1 species
AGAGUUUGAUCCUGGCUCAGAUUGAACGCUGGCGGCAGGCCUAACACAUGCAAGUCGAGCGGUAGAGAGAAGCUUGCUUCUCUUGAGAGCGGCGGACGGGUGAGUAAUGCCUAGGAAUCUGCCUGGUAGUGGGGGAUAACGUUCGGAAACGGACGCUAAUACCGCAUACGUCCUACGGGAGAAAGCAGGGGACCUUCGGGCCUUGCGCUAUCAGAUGAGCCUAGGUCGGAUUAGCUAGUUGGUGAGGUAAUGGCUCACCAAGGCUACGAUCCGUAACUGGUCUGAGAGGAUGAUCAGUCACACUGGAACUGAGACACGGUCCAGACUCCUACGGGAGGCAGCAGUGGGAAAUAUUGGACAAUGGGCGAAAGCCUGAUCCAGUCAUGCCGCGUGUGUGAAGAAGGUCUUCGGAUUGUAAAGCACUUUAAGUUGGGAGGAAGGGCAUUAACCUAAUACGUUAGUGUUUUGACGUUACCGACAGAAUAAGCACCGGCUAACUCUGUGCCAGCAGCCGCGGUAAUACAGAGGGUGCAAGCGUUAAUCGGAAUUACUGGGCGUAAAGCGCGCGUAGGUGGUUGUUAAGUUGGAUGUGAAAUCCCCGGGCUCAACCUGGGGAACUGCAUUCAAAACUGACUGACUAGAGUAUGUU